CAGGAAUUGGUUAAACAGGAAGCAGGAAGGUAUUAAUGGUCGCAUGGCCCUUUUUUCUUCCUCUUGCUCCUGUUGAUACCAAGUACCCACAUCACUGUGCGCUGCAAUGUCUGCAGCCGCUUCAAUGGCUCACUGUUAGUGUAGACCUUUCCCUCCCCAUAUGGACGAGCAGUUGCUUGCCAGUGUAGGUUUCCUGCAGGGUUGGACCUUCCUUUCAGAGUAUCGGGGGUGUCCAUUCGUCGUUAAUCAUGGGGCAUGGAGCCUCCCCAAAGUGGCAGUCCAGUCUCUUGCCUGCCCAGUGGAGGAAAAGCCCCCUUGCCUUUCUUUACAUGCUAGAAACCACUUUUUUAUGUACAUGAUAAAAGUUCAGUUUGAAAGGCUCUUGUAUGAAAGUGUGAUUGGGUGUGAGGAGCUAACUGUUAGCUCAGUUAACUGACUGUGGUUUGUCACUUAGUGUAAAUAUUGUUAAUAUUUUGUUUUGUUUAUAUUGUUUUCUUUCCUCUGUAAAGAAACUUUGUUUCUGUUGUAAAUAAUGGUUUGUUUGCUUUGGAGUUAAAUUAACAGUUUGGUUUUUGUUGAACUAAUUGAUUUUGCUUUUGUUUGACUUAACAGUUGUUUUCUUUCUGUUAACUUGUUUUGUGUCGCAGUUUUGUCUGUAUGUUUUAAAUGGUAUGCACGUUGUGAAAAGCCUUUUAAAAAGGAUAUGUUAAAAUAAAAGGAACU